GGGGAAUCUUCCGCAAUGGGCGCAAGCCUGACGGAGCAACGCCGCGUGAGUGAAGAAGGUCUUCGGAUCGUAAAGCUCUGUUGACGGGGACGAACGUACGGAGUGCGAAUAGUGCUCUGUAAUGACGGUACCUGUCGAGGAAGCCACGGCUAACUACGUGCCAGCAGCCGCGGUAAUACGUAGGUGGCGAGCGUUGUCCGGAAUCAUUGGGCGUAAAGGGAGCGCAGGCGGGCAUGUAAGCCUUUCUUAAAAGUUCGGGGCUCAACCCCGUGAUGGGAAGGAAACUACAUGUCUUGAGUACAGGAGAGGAAAGCGGAAUUCCCAGUGUAGCGGUGAAAUGCGUAGAUAUUGGGAGGAACACCAGUGGCGAAGGCGGCUUUCUGGACUGCAACUGACGCUGAGGCUCGAAAGCCAGGGGAGCGAACGGGAUUAGAUACCCCGGUAGUCCUGGCCGUAAACGAUGGAUACUAGGUGUGGGAGGUAUCGACCCCUACCGUGCCGGAGUUAACGCAAUAAGUAUCCCGCCUGGGGAGUACGGUCGCAAGACUG
rnacentral:rRNA from 1 species